rnacentral:snoRNA from 1 species
AAGGUAUGAUGAAAAAAAUUUACAUUCAGUUCUGCUUCUGAACCACAGAAGGAAGAAAACCAAUUACCAAAGCUCAAAAUAGCUGAACCUUUACCUU